rnacentral:rRNA from 1 species
GACGAACGCUGGCGGCGUGCUUAACACAUGCAAGUCGAACGAAGUGGCGAACGGGUGAGUAACGCGUAAUCAACCUGCCCUUCAGAGGGGGACAACAGGUGGAAACGACUGCUAAUACCGCAUACUGAAGGAGGGGCUUGCGUCCGAUUAGUUAGUUGGAGGGGUAACGGCCCACCAAGGCGAUGAUCAGUAGCCGGUCUGAGGGGAUGAACGGCCACAUUGGGACUGAGACACCGCCCAGGCUCCUACGGGAGGCAGCAGGGGGGAAUCUUCCGCAAUGGAAGAAAGUCUGACGGAGCAACGCCGCGUGAGUGAUGACGGCUUUCGGGUUGUAAAGCUCUGUUAAUCGGGACGCGGUACCGGAAUAGAAAGCCACGGCUAACUACGUGCCAGCAGCCGCGGUAAUUC